AGUGAACGCUGGCGGCAGGCCUAACACAUGCAAGUCGAGCGGCAGCGCGUCCGACCACCCUCGGGUGGUCGGAUGGCGGCGAGCGGCGGACGGGUGAGGAAUGCAUCGGAAUCUGCCUCGUUGUGGGGGAUAACGUAGGGAAACUUACGCUAAUACCGCAUACGACCUACGGGUGAAAGUGGGGGACCUUCGGGCCUCACGCGAUGAGAUGAGCCGAUGCCGGAUUAGCUAGUUGGCGGGGUAAAGGCCCACCAAGGCGACGAUCCGUAGCUGGUCUGAGAGGAUGAUCAGCCACACUGGAACUGAGACACGGUCCAGACUCCUACGGGAGGCAGCAGUGGGGAAUAUUGGACAAUGGGGGCAACCCUGAUCCAGCCAUGCCGCGUGUGUGAAGAAGGCCUCGGUUGUAACGUUAG
rnacentral:rRNA from 1 species